rnacentral:pre_miRNA from 1 species
AGAAAUCUAUUGCCUGCAUUACUAGAAAUCUAUUGUGAUUUCUAGCAAUGCAGACAAUAGAUUUCUAGCAAUGCAGACAAUAGAUUUCU